rnacentral:rRNA from 1 species
GAUGAACGCUGGCGGCGCGCCUAACACAUGCAAGUCGAACGAUUAAAGCACCUUCGGGUGUGUAUAAAGUGGCGAACGGCUGAGUAACACGUGGGCAACCUGCCCCUUUCAUUGGGAUAGCCACGGGAAACCGUGGAUAAUACCGAAUACUUCGAGACUUCCGCAUGGAAGACUCGAGAAAGCUCCGGCGGAGAGGGAUGGGCCCGCGGCCUGUUAGCUUGUUGGUGGGGUAACGGCCUACCAAGGCAAUGACGGGUAGCUGGGUUGAGAGACCGACCAGCCAGAUUGGGACUGAGACACGGCCCAGACUCCUACGGGAGGCAGCAGUGGGGAAUCUUGCACAAUGGGCGAAAGCCUGAUGCAGCGACGCCGCGUGCGGGAUGAAGGCCUUCGGGUUGUAAACCGCUUUCAGCAGGGACGAGGCGAAAGUGACGGUACCUGCAGAAGAAGCCCCGGCUAACUACGUG